GCAAGCAUGAUUCCGCCUUUAAUUUGUUAAUUGCAUGCUAUAGAUGUUGCUCAAAUGAACAUGUUUUUCAUAAAAUUUCCUUCAUGUAUCCCAUCAAAACAAUAGAUUCACAAUAGAUUCACCAACACUUAAGAGUUUAUUCAUACUUUCAUUAAAUAUAACAUAAGAUUUUGUGGUAUCCACUAGUGUAAAUAUUUUAAAUUGAAGAUCGAGUUCAUUCAUUGUAUUCAUAUAGGGUCAAGAAGUGUAGUUGUAAAAAAUCAUCAAAAUCAGAGUUAAAAUAACCUUUAAAUCGUGAUUUUUCGUUGAUAACUGUCGAAAAGUUUUGUCCCAUUACUUAAUCUUUGAAUGUUUGGUUUUUGCUAUUUUUGGCAUAUGCGAUCUUGAAGCAUAUACAAACAAGUUUGACAGUUGGAUCGUUGAAAUUAGUUUCGUAAAAUGUGUAUCCCAUCAAAACGAUAGAUUCACUAACACUUGGAGUUUAUUUAUACUUUCAUUAAGUAUAUCAUAAGAUUUUGUGGUAUCCACUACUGUAAAUAUUUUAAAUUGAAGAUCGAAUUCAUUCAUUGUAUUCAUAUAGGGUCAAGGAGUGUAGUUGCAAAAAAUCAUAAAAAUCGGAGUUAAAAUAACCUUUAAAUCAUGAUUUUUCGUUGAUAACCGACAAAAAGUUUUGUUCCGUUACUUAAUCUUUGACUGUUUGUUUUUUCAAAAUUUUGGCGUAUACCACGAGUGAAAAUUCCAAUAUCCAAGGAAUGGGACCACGGCGAUCCAUGAAGUUAAAUG
rnacentral:lncRNA from 1 species